rnacentral:rRNA from 1 species
CGAUUCCGUAAGUAGCGGCGAGCGAACGCGGAUUAGCCCAAACCAAUAAAGUUUUCUUUAUUGGGGUUGCGGACAUAUCAUAACGAAGAGGGAUCGUAAUUGAAGAGGUUUGGAAAGACCCACCACAGAAGGUAAUAGUCCUGUAUGUUAAACGAGAAGACUUCAGAUAUGAUCCAGAGUACCACGGGACACGUGAAACCCUGUGGGAAGCAGGAGGGACCACCCUCCAAGGCUAAAUACUACCUAG